rnacentral:rRNA from 1 species
GACGAACGCUGGCGGCGUGCCUAAUACAUGCAAGUAGAACGCUGAAGGAGGAGCUUGCUCUUCUGGAUGAGUUGCGAACGGGUGAGUAACGCGUAGGUAACCUGCCUGGUAGCGGGGGAUAACUAUUGGAAACGAUAGCUAAUACCGCAUAACAGUAGAUGUUGCAUGACAUUUACUUAAAAGGUGCAAUUGCAUCACUACCAGAUGGACCUGCGUUGUAUUAGCUAGUUGGUGGGGUAACGGCUCACCAAGGCGACGAUACAUAGCCGACCUGAGAGGGGGAUCCGCCACACUGGGACUGAGACACGGCCCAGACUCCUACGGGAGGCAGCAGUAGGGAAUCUUCGGCAAUGGACGGAAGUCUGACCGAGCAACGCCGCGUGAGUGAAGAAGGUUUUCGGAUCGUAAAGCCCUGUUGUAAGAGAAGAACGAGUGUGAGAGUGGAAAGUUCACACUGUGACGGUAUCUUACCAGAAAGGGACGGCUAACUACGUG